rnacentral:rRNA from 1 species
GACGAACGCUGGCGGCGUGCCUAAUACAUGCAAGUAGAACGCUGAAGAGAGGAGCUUGCUCUUCUUGGAUGAGUUGCGAACGGGUGAGUAACGCGUAGGUAACCUGCCUUGUAGCGGGGGAUAACUAUUGGAAACGAUAGCUAAUACCGCAUAACAAUGGAUGACACAUGUCAUUUAUUUGAAAGGGGCAAUUGCUCCACUACAAGAUGGACCUGCGUUGUAUUAGCUAGUAGGUGAGGUAAUGGCUCACCUAGGCGACGAUACAUAGCCGACCUGAGAGGGUGAUCGGCCACACUGGGACGGAGACACGGCCCAGACUCCUACGGGAGGAAGCAGUAGGGAAUCUUCGGCAAUGGGGGCAACCCUGACCGAGCAACGCCGCGUGAGUGAAGAAGGUUGUCGGAUCGUAAAGCUCUGUUGUAAGUCAAGAACGGGUGUGAGAGUGGAAAGUUCACACUGUGACGGUAGCUUACCAGAAAGGGACGGCUAACUACGUG